ensembl:lncRNA
AGACAAGCUACAGCUCAGUUCUGUCACUAAGCAACAGAACAUACAUACAUUAUUGACCUUUCAUUCACUGCAGAGGACGAGGGGUCACUUUGUGUUCUGUUGUUUUUCAGAUGGAGGUUCUGACCUCUCAUCCCCCAAAGAGACAUGAGCCCUGCAGUGAGAAUGGGAAUUCACAUUCAGAUGAUGGUGGUUCAGAACUCUUAUCCCCUGAGAUGAGAUGUGAGCCCUGCAGUGAGGACGGAAGUUCAGUUUUAGAUGAUCAGCGUCCAGGAACACAUCUGGUUAACAGAACCCCACAAAAGAAGAAGAGGAAGAAAAAGAGAG